AUUGAACGCUGGCGGCAGGCCUAACACAUGCAAGUCGAGCGGGGUUUUCGGACCUAGCGGCGGACGGGUGAGUAAUGCGUAGGAAGCUACCCGAUAGAGGGGGAUACCAGUUGGAAACGACUGUUAAUACCGCAUAAUGUCUACGGACCAAAGUGUGGGACCUUCGGGCCACAUGCUAUCGGAUGCGCCUACGUGGGAUUAGCUAGUUGGUGAGGUAAUGGCUCACCAAGGCGACGAUCCCUAGCUGGUUUGAGAGGAUGAUCAGCCACACUGGAACUGAGACACGGUCCAGACUCCUACGGGAGGCAGCAGUGGGGAAUAUUGGACAAUGGGCGCAAGCCUGAUCCAGCCAUGCCGCGUGUGUGAAGAAGGCCUUCGGGUUGUAAAGCACUUUCAGCGAGGAGGAAGGGGUGAGUGUUAAUAGUACUCAUCUUUGACGUUACUCGCAGAAGAAGCACCGGCUAACUCUGUGCCAGCCGCCGCAGUAAUAC
rnacentral:rRNA from 1 species